CCUACGGGAGACAGCAGUGAGGAAGAUUGGUCAAUGGCCGGGAGGCUGAACCAGCCAAGUCGCGUGAGGGAAGACGGCCCUACGGGUUGUAAACCUCUUUUGUCAGGGAGCAAGGUGCAGGUCGGGACCGGCUGUGAGAGGACCUGAAGAAAAAGCAUCGGCUAACACCGUGCCAGCAGCCGCGGUAAGACGGAGGAUGCGAGCGUUAUCCGGAUUAAUUGGGUUUAAAGGGUGCGCGGGCGGAGGCACAAGUCAGAGGUAAAAUCGCGGGGCUCAACCCCGCUCCGCCGUUGAAACUGUGUCCCUUGAGUUCGCGACGGGUAGGCGGAAUGCGUGGUGUAGCCGU
rnacentral:rRNA from 1 species